GGUUCGAUCAUGGCUCAGAUUGAACGCUAAGCGGGAUGCUUUUACAUGCAAGUCGAACGGCAGCAGGACUUCGGUCUGUACAGUGGCGAACGGGUGAGUAAUGUAUCGGAACGUGCCUAGUAGCGGGGGAUAACUACGCGAAAGGUGUACACACGCAGCACAAGUUCUUUCGGGGGAAAGCGGGGACCUUCGGGCCUGCACCACAGGAGCGGUUUAACGAUUUCAGCUGGUUGCGUAACGGCUCACCAAGGCGACGAUCCGCUGGGCUGUAGCUGGUUUGAGAGGACGACCAGCUUCACACGGACUGGAGACACGGCCCAGACUCCUACGGGAGGCAGCAGUGGGGAAUUUUGGACAAUGGGAAAUCCUCGAUCUGUCAUCCCGCGCGGUGCGAUGAAGGCCUUCGGGUUGUAAAGCACUUUUGGCAGGAAGAAACGGCACGGGAUAAUACUCCUGUGCAACUGACGGUACCUGCAGAAUACAACGGCUGACUACGUGCCAGCAGCCGCGGUAAUACGUAGGGGUGCAAGCGUUAAUCGGAAUUACUGGGCGUAAAGCGUGCGCAGGCGGUUCGGAGCAAAGAUGUGAAAUCCUGUAGAGCCGAAUUUCUUUGUAUCCGGUACUUUUAACUACCGAGCUAGAGUGUGUCAGAGGGAGGUGUGGAAUUCCCGCGUGUAGCAGUGAAAUGCGUAGAUAUGCGGAGAACACCGAUGGCGAAGGCAGCCUCCCGGGGAUAACACUGACGCUCAUGCACGAAAGCGUGGGGAGCAAACAGGAUUAGAUACCCUGGUAGUCCACGCCCUAAACGAUGUCAACUAGCUGUUGGGGCCUUCGGGCCUUGGUAGCGCAGCCAUCAUGAAGUUGACCGCCGGGGAGGCGCAACGCAAGAUUAAACCCCAAAGGAAUUGACGGGGACUCCGCACAAGCGGUAGAUGAUGGAUUAACGAUGCAACGCGAAAAACCUUACCUACCCUUGACAUGUCUGAAUCCCGAAGAGAUUUGGGAGUGCUCUGCAAGAGAACCGGAACACAGGUGCUGCAUGGCUGUCGUCAGUCGAAGUCGUAGAUGGGUUAAGUCCCGCAAUGAGCAACCCUUGUCAGCAGUUGCUACGAAAGGGCACUCUAAUGAGACUGCCGGUGACAAACCGGAGGAAGGUGGGAUGACGGUUGAGUCCUCAUGGCCUCAUAUGUGUAGGGCUUCACACGUCAUACAAUGGUCGGGACAGAGGGUCGCUUAACCCGCGAGGGGGAGCUAAUCCAGAAACCGAUCGUAGUCCGGAUCGCAGUCUGCACCUGACUGCGUGAAGUCGGAAUCGCUAGUAAUCUGUGGAUCAGCAUGUCGCGGUGAAUACGUCUCGGUCUUGCAAGACACCGCCCGUCAUGACCGAUGGAGUGGGUUCUACCAGAAGUAGCACCAACCGCAGGAGGUGAUUACCACGGUAGGAUUCAUGACUGGGGUGAAGUCGUAACAAGGUAA
rnacentral:rRNA from 1 species